rnacentral:tRNA from 1 species
AUUAAGAUGGCAGAUUAUUAUGCUUCAGACUUAAGCUCUGACCAAGGAAUUUUUCCUCUUAAUA